rnacentral:rRNA from 1 species
AGCUCCAAUAGCGUAUAUUAAAGUUGCUGCAGUUAAAAAGCUCGUAGUUGGAUUUGUGGCGCGGCCGUCCGGCGGGGCUCCUUCAUUGGGGCCGUUUGUCUGGUUUUUCGGCCGCUCCAUUCUCGGGUAGUGUGUCGCUGGCAUUAGGUUGUCGGCUUCUUCACGCCCGUCGUUUACUGUGAAAAAAUUAGAGUGUUCAAAGCAGGCUUAGGCCAUUGGAUACAUUAGCAUGGAAUAAUGAGAUAGGGCCACGACGGUCUAUUUUGUUGGUUUGCACGUUGUGGUAAUGAUUAACAGGAACGGUUGGGGGUAUUCGUAUUCAAUUGUCAGAGGUGAAAUUCUUGGAUUUAUGGAAGACGAACUACUGCGAAAGCAUUUACCAAGGAUGUUUUCAUUGAUC